rnacentral:rRNA from 1 species
UACGUAGGGGCCAAGCGUUGUCCGGAUUUAUUGGGCGUAAAGAGCUCGUAGGCGGUUCGGCAAGUCAGCUGUGAAAUCUCCACGCUCAACGUGGAGGGUCAGCUGAUACUGCUGUGACUUGAGUCCGGGAGAGGUGAGUGGAACUGCGAGUGUAGAGGUGAAAUUCGUAGAUAUUCGCAAGAACACCAGUGGCGAAGGCGGCUCACUGGCCCGGAACUGACGCUGAGACGCGAAAGCGUGGGAGCAACAGG